rnacentral:lncRNA from 1 species
AACCAUUAGUCCAUUAUUGGUCAUGAUUAGAUGUUGGUUGUGACUGUUGUAAUAGCGAUGAAUUGAGGUGACUAAUUUGAUUUUUUGUCCUCUUGGCUUUUAGGAUUGUUGAGAGUGUUGGGGAGGGUGUGACAGACCUCAAACCGGGUGACCAUGUGCUUCCUGUCUUCACAGGAGAGUGUAAGGAAUGCCGACAUUGCAAAUCAGAAGAGAGUAAUAUGUGCAAUCUUCUUAGGAUUAACACUGACAGGGGUGUGAUGCUGAAUGAUGGCAAGUCAAGGUUUUCGAUCAGAGGGCAGCCCAUUUACCAUUUUGUUGGCACCUCAACCUUUAGCGAGUACACUGUGGUUCAUGUUGGCUGUGUUGCCAAGAUCAAUCCUGCUGCUCCUCUCGACAAAGUUUGUGUUCUGAGCUGUGGAAUCUCUACAGGUGGGGAGAAAUACACGAUUUGAUAAAAAUCAUUGAAUGGGGGGAUUUGUUGCUUUCUUUUAAUGGGGAUUUCUCUUUUGACUUGUAGGUCUUGGUUCCACCUUGAAUGUUGCAAAACCAAAGAAAGGCUCUUCGAUAGCCAUUUUCGGACUGGGAGCUGUAGGCCUCGCGGUAAGUUUUUUUAUACAGGUAGAUUAAUGAUAAUGUUUUCUGUUCAAGCUGCAGGAAGUGUUAAUGCAGAACUUGUUCCUGUUGUUUUUUCCUAAUCCAGGCUGCUGAAGGGGCUCGGAUUGCUGGUGCUUCAAGAAUCAUUGGUGUCGAUUUGAAUUCCAAUAGAUUCGAUGAAGGUGAGAGAAGCUAUAAUGCUGUUCAUUGUGGCUGCUGAGCAUUUCUCUUAAAUUAUUGAUUGAUUCUUAGCUCAGUCUAAUAGCUAAUAUCACAAAACUGAUAAAUUUAAGUAGCUUUAAUGUUGAAUCUUGGUGAUAAUAACUGCUUUCUGAUGUUCAUUUGUGUUUUUUCAACAGCCAAGAAGUUUGGUGUCACUGAGUUUGUGAACCCAAAAGAUCAUAACAAGCCUGUUCAAGAGGUAAGUGACAAAGAGAAUCGUGUUCUGAGCACUAGCAUCGGCGCAUCCUUUACGCCUGUCCUAAUUUUGAUUUACUGUGUUCAGGUGAUAGCUGAAAUGACCAAUGGAGGAGUUGAUCGAAGUGUCGAGUGUACUGGAAGUGUCAAUGCCAUGAUUUCUGCAUUUGAAUGCGUCCAUGAUGGAUGGGGUGUUGCUGUACUUGUUGGUGUGCCGAACAAAGAUGAUUCUUUCAAAACCCAUCCAAUGAAUGUCCUGAAUGAGAGGACUCUCAAGGGCACCUUCUUCGGCAACUACAAACCGCGCUCCGACCUUCCUUCAGUUGUCGAGAAGUACAUGAACAAGGUAAAUCGGAGCUCCCAUUAAUAUUAUCCAGCUAACAUGUAGUGUGAGCAUAUAUUUCCAUACUUGCACAUGCGUAGUCGACUAGAAUUAACUACUCCAAUUCCUUCGUUUUAUUUUGAUACAAUCUAUUUCACUGUUAACUUCUCUAGUUGUAAUGUGACAGGAGCUGGAGCUAGAGAAAUUCAUCACCCAUGAAGUCCCUUUCUCAGAAAUCAACAAGGCUUUCGAGUACAUGCUUAGUGGAGCUGGCCUGAGGUGUAUUAUCCGUAUGGGUGCAUAAAAGAAGACUGGUUUGGUUUGCCUUGGUGUGACAGGAAACAAUAAAAUUCUUGUUUGAGAUUGUUGAUUAAAGAAGUUUUCUGUGUUUGAGCAUCAGUAUGUAAUUUCUUUCAUUGUUGAUGGCAAAAAUAAUAUAUAUAUAAUUAGCCCAUUUCUGGCAUGUAAAUAUAAAUCAAAGAAUCACAUGUUCGUUUUCUUUCAGUUUGUGUUUUUAAUGGUGCUGUGGAUAGAAAACUUUGAUAUAAAUCCUGAAGCCUGGCCAGAAUGGCAACUUCACUUGUUGGCCUGGCCAGAAUGGCAACUUCACUUGUUCUUGAUAUAACUAUGAUCCAAUGAAUCUAAAGGGAAACUAGCCAGUUCGGACAAAAUGCUGUUUGGAACCCGUUACCGAGGGCCCGAAGAUAGAGCAUGGUCUGUACAGAAUGAACUCCAAUUUUCGUAAAGCCGCUCAGUGGUGUGGUCAGAGUUCCCUCCAUCAGUUACCGGUUAAAACAUUGUUAAACAUGUACUACCAGUUGCCGGCAAGACUUAACACUGUUUGUAACGGUGAAGGACAAGAUUGAGAAUGAAAUGUUGAAAUUAGUACAAAUAAAAAUACAGAGUCCAAACUACUACAAAAUUAAAUGUAAAAAGGACCAGAUUAAGCUUCAAACUGUAGUUCUCAAUCCACGUUGUCGGUCUCACAUGGUAAUGUAUUUUAACCGAUUCUAUUCUUAAGACUUUAUGACUUGCUAUCAAAGUUCUUCACAUAACAUCAAUGGUCUACUUCUAAUCUUAUUAACUCAAGCCAUACAAGCUUUUUUUUAGUUUGCAAACUAGAUUUUCCUGUUCAUUUACUGGGAAUCCUUUUGGCUGCUUUAUGUAGAUAUUUUUCCUAUAAAUAUUCAUGAGAAGCAAUUUUCACAUUUAACUACUUAAGAUGCAAAUCUUUUGCAGCUACAAUUCCUAAUACUAGUAUGAUGGUUGUCAGCUUCACCCCUAGAAAAAUGAUAUAUGUGUAAUCGAUACCUUAUAAUUGCAUUAGAAUUGCUCCUCAAUUUUAGAAAAUAGAAUUUGAUUUUAUUAAUUUUAGAAAAUUGAAACAACAAUGACCAACAUUUACUUGGCUAAGCAUAUCCAACCCUUUUUUUCACUUUGGCAUGGAGAAUUACAGUUCGGUCCUAUAGUUUUAAUUUCCCCCCUUUUUUCCCCUCUUUUUUAUGGUUUCGGGUUUAAAUACCGAACUUCAUUUCUAUUAUGUUUUAGUCAUUGGACUUUGAGAGGAGAGAGAGACGACGGAUAAUGAGAAAAGAGAGAGAAAGAAGUUGGUCGGCCACAUUCCAGCCACUAGCAAGGCUGAUUUUGGUGUUAUUGGGUUCCUCUUAAUGGGAGGGUAGUCAUUUAAGUAUUUUUAGGCUUCCAUCUUACCGAAAAAUGCAAAUAAAGGUUAGGGAAGAGUUUACUUUCGUCAACUUUAUUUUAUGGGUUUUAAUCAAUUUAAGGUGGCUUUGAUGAUACAAGUUGAUUUAUUAGGAUUCUUGUAAUGUUUACUGGGUGGUUUUAAAUAAAAAUAUGCUAAAAAGUAGGUCUUUGGGUCCUAAAAAAAACCUUUAUCAUAACUUUUUAGCCACCUCUUUGAUGAUCAUAAAUCUAGCAAGCAAGCAGACGUGUCAUCUGCUUCAUAAAAAAAAAAAAUAACUUGUCGUCCACUCUUAAACAUUAAAAAAAAAGGGCAUAGCUUGCACACAAACUUUUAUCUUCCUUGAGCUACAUGUGUCUGCUUAAUAUUUUAGGCCUUAGACUCUUUUUAUAUCUUUUCCUAAUUUUUUCAAGCUUUUUUAUCAAGGUGCACUGUAAGUAAAAUACUUGUCAUGAUAUUUAAAUUAUUAUUCAAGAAAAAAGAAUUUUCUACUUAUGUUAUUUUUAAAUAGAUUUCUUAAUUUAUUUUAUCAUAUUAAUAGGGGUUUUUCCUUUUGUACAAAAUUUUAAGUCAUUAUUUUAGUUUUUUUUUAUUAAUACUUGCAUUUAGAUCAUAAUAUUUGUUUUUUUUAUCUAAAAAAAAUGUUUUCGAUUAAAAGAGUUUAGAUUGAAGAUAUAUUUUUUCCUAAUUAUUUCAAAUGAUCAAGAUUUUUACAAGCUUUUAUUUUAAUUAUAGAUGCUUUUUAUUAAAAAACAUUCUUCUAAUAAAAAAUCAUGUUAUUGUUUUUAAGAAGAUUAGAGCUCUUGUUUUAUAAUGAUUUCAUUUAUUGCUUUAUGGAUGAUUAUGGUAGCCUAAUAUGUAGAGUUUAUAAAAUUAUUUUCUCAUUAAAAUUGGAUGAGAAAAAAUAUCUAUUAUCUUAAUUUUUUAUUGUAAAUUUUAUAUGACUUCCUCAAAUUUAAUUUUCUAAUAUUAUUUUUAUGUAGAUAGUGUUUUAGAAUGUAACUAGAUAAUUAGCCCAUUUUACAUCACAAAUUGAACCAAAAAAAAUAUUGAGCUUAAAAAACAAUGUCAAUGUGUUUUUCAUUAGUAAGAAAAAAUAUAAUCAUUAGCUCAUAACCCAACUUAAUUGGUUAAUUUUAAAACCUUCUGAUUUAAAUACUUAUCUAGCUUGGGUAUCAAAUUAAUUUGUGUAGGAGUUGAUCUAAUAUUACCAUGUCGACUUAGUGAGUGAGAGGAAAACCUAAAUGACUGGCAAAAAUAUAGUUUGACUAAAAACAAAUUCAAGACAAUAUUUUUUUUAAAAAAUUAAUAAGUCGGUGAUAAAUUUGAUCAAUACAAGUCGCCUCCCAAACUAGCCACCCAAGUCAUAGACUCGAGUAGAUAUAAUAAGUUCAUUUUUAUACCCUUUUUUAUUUUAAUUAUAUGAUAGUAGAAAUAGACUAUGAGAAAAGAGAAUUAUGAUGGAUUGCACAAAAUAAAAACGUUUCCUAAUAUUAUAAAAACAUUACUAUUAUCUCACUCGAGAACAAAGCAAAAAUUAAAUGGAAUUUAAUAAAAUAAUAUUUAAAAUAUAUUUUUAAUUGAUUUAAUAAUUUUUAAAAUAAUUUUUAAAACAUAUUUUAAAUUAAUCUAUUUUUAAGAAAUUAAAUUAAUUGUUUUGGGGAAAACAAUUAAAAAAAAGUCCAGGUGCAAAAGCAUGCCAGCCCAGACCUACUCUUAUUUUAUUUCUUCUCCAAAUUAGCCACACGACAUGUCGUCCAUCUAACUUUUUUUUUUUAAAAAAAAAGAAACAAAUGAUGUGUUAUCUACAAACACAGUUUUUGACUAGUAGAAAGGUGGUUGUAAAAUUGAGCUGAGAUUUUUUUGAUUCGAAAAUCAUAUUUUUAACUUGUUUUCACCUAAAAAUACUCUUAUAACAUAAAAAAACAACAAAUUCAACAACUCAAAAACUCAAAAAUCUAUUAAAAAACACAAAGUCAAACAACAAAAGAUCUCUCUCUCAACGUAGAUCUAUUUUUGUUGAAAACUUGAAAGUGUAAAAACACUUUAAUGAAACUCUUUUCUUCAAGAUGAAUAUUUUGACAUCAAAUUUGGUUAUUUUUAUUAUUGAAAUUCAACCAACUGACCUCUGUCUUUUUCAUUCGUUGUUGUUUUAUGACUCCUUUCUUUUUUUAAAGAAAAAAAAAUUUGAACUAAACUAUUUAAUUACAAAACGAAAGGGACUAAAAAAGAAAUUUGAAAAUAUCCCAAAGCAAAAUUAAGCACGAGCACUCUAACACCAUUUUAUUUUCUUUUUUUAAAAGAAAAAUUAAGGUCUUCCAUUUUUUCUUUGUGUCAAUUUUAGUCCUCUCAAUUUCAAUCUUUUUCAAACAUUAAAACCAUCUUCUUUUUUUUGUAAAAUCAGAUUCUUGUUCAAUGUUGGAAUAAUUUUUUUGAGAUCGAGAUAAUCACAUAAAAAAUAGAUCAAAACAAGUUAUAAAUUCUAAUUUGCAAUUAAGACAACAUUGAAUGAUGAAAUCAAAAAGAAAAAAACUCGAUGAUUGAAAGCAAAAAAAAAAAAACGAUCAGAGUUAACACAAAAGUUUUUUUAAAAACAAAAGGGUUGCCAUUUUUUCUUUGUUUUGAUUUUGAUCUCUUUAUUUUUAUUUUCUUACAAACAAUAAAAAAGAAAUUAUGAAAUCGAGCAACAACAUGAUGUUGACAUGUUUUAUUGAGAUCUCAAUAACAAUAUAAAAAACAAAUAAAAAUAAAUCAUUAAUUCCAAAUCCAAACCAACAUAAUAUCAAAAAAUAAAAUUAAAAAAAAUCAAUAAUUAAAAAAAAACAAAACAAAGAAAAAAAAAGUGAGAGAGAAAAAUGCUUCAAUCCUCAUUGUAAUGUGAGGAGGGACAGUUUUCUCUGCACCUUUUAUGUUUUUUUUAUUUUAAUCAAGUCGUAGCAUAGAUUUAAGUGGUUAUUUUUUCACCGAAUGGGGAUUUAUAAACAUUUUUUUGGUGGUAAAAAUGAAUAAAAAAAUGUUUGGAAAAUAAAUAAAAGUGUUUUCUCGAGGCACUUAAAAUCAAAUACUUUUUGAAUUUUCCAGAGAAAUUUUCAGAGAAUUGCUGUGUUUAUCUCUAUAAAAGAAACCUUCUGGCAGCGUAAACCUCAUUAAAAAUCAAUAAAGGUAAUUUAUUAGGAGUCCGGCUGUAUUACAAUGUUCUAAAAGGUCAACUGCCUGGCUCAGCAGUAAAAUAAGAUACAAACAGCAAAACCACAACUGGAAAUACAAAACUAGAAUGCUAAUUGCAAAUCAACCCUUCAAUCAAGAUAUAGAUUUCAAUUAAAUGUCAAAAAAAUACUUUCUUGCAAUUUCACCAUCAAACCAUCAAUCACUUAAAAAUCAGUUCCUUACCAUGUGAUUGUAUUUUGGGUGUCAAGACCUACUUGCUAUCAUAACUUUAAUUAAGAAAAAACUACCCUACAAGAAUUUUCAAUCACAUAAAUAAAAAUAAAAUAAAACUUCUAUAUAGUCUGAAAAAUUGUGAUCUCAACCAAAUUUUUGUAUAAACUACAAAACUCUCUCUCUUUUUUUUCUUUUUCAAGAAUGUUUUGCGUAGGAAAAUUAUUAAAAUUGAUAGGUUUUUUGUAAAGAAAUACAGUGACAUUUGAACGAUAAAUUUGCAAAAAUUGUUUUAGCAGAUUGUAUUAAAACGUAUAGUAUAGUUUGAGGACUGGUUUAUAGUUAGCCAAAACCAGACACAGCGAGAAAGCCAGAAACAGGGGGAGCCGUUGUUGCCACCAAGAGAGAGAAACAGAGGACAAAUGAAACAACAGGAUCGUAAAUGGUUUUCUUUUAAGAAAUAUUCAAAUUUAUGGUCAACAUAAUCCAAAAAACAGGAGAGAUAUGCGUACUUCUGCAACUAUAAAUACCUCCAAAGACAACCUGUCUCGUCACAACUCAAGAAACAGAGCAAAGUAAUCAAAGAAGCGUUAAAGAAGGGUCUAAAGUUCGUUUAAAACAAAUAUGUCGAGCACUGCUGGUCAAGUCAUAUGUUGCAAAGGUAACCAAGAAAGUUCAUGAUUCCUUGUGGGGUCUGUGAUAUGUUCUAUGUGCUGUUGUCAUUUUGUGUAUUUGGAUUUCUCAUUUAUGUCUGGCAAUGACUUGAUGCAAUUUGCUUAAUCUGUAGCUGCUGUGGCAUGGGAAGCUGGGAAGCCACUGGUAAUAGAAGAAGUGGAGGUGGCUCCUCCUCAAGCUAUGGAGGUUCGUUUGAAGAUCCUCUUUACCUCCCUCUGCCACACUGAUGUUUACUUCUGGGAAGCCAAGGUGACUGCAUUUUCAAUUGUGAUUAUUAUGUCUGCUCAUUGGUCUUUUUAUAAUUCAUGCUAGUAGAGAUUUAUGCUUACGAAAAUGGGCUGUGAAAUUGCAGGGUCAAACCCCAUUGUUUCCUCGAAUAUUUGGUCAUGAAGCAGGAGGGUAUGAAUUUGAACCAUUAGUCCAUUAUUGGUCAUGAUUAGAUGGUGGUUCUGACUGUUGUAAUAGCGAUGAAUUGAGGUGACUAAUUUGAUCUUUUGUCCUCUUGGCUUUUAGGAUUGUUGAGAGUGUUGGGGAGGGUGUGACAGACCUCAAACCCGGUGACCAUGUGCUUCCUGUCUUCACAGGAGAGUGUAAGGAAUGCCGACAUUGCAAAUCAGAAGAGAGUAAUAUGUGCGAUCUUCUUAGGAUUAACACUGACAGGGGUGUGAUGCUGAAUGAUGGCAAGUCAAGGUUUUC